rnacentral:rRNA from 1 species
GAAUUUUGCGCAAUGGGGGAAACCCUGACGCAGCAACGCCGCGUGAGUGAAGAAGGCCUUCGGGUCGUAAAGCUCUGUCAAGUGGGAAGAAAACCUAGCGAUUAAUAGUCGUUGGGUUUGAUGGUACCACUGGAGGAAGCACCGGCUAACUCCGUGCCAGCAGCCGCGGUAAUACGGAGGGUGCGAGCGUUGUUCGGAAUUAUUGGGCGUAAAGAGCGUGUAGGCGGUUUGGUAAGUCAGAUGUGAAAGCCCUGGGCUCAACCCAGGAAGUGCAUUUGAUACUGCCUUACUUGAGUAUGGGAGAGGAGAGUGGAAUUCCCAGUGUAGAGGUGAAAUUCGUAGAUAUUGGGAAGAACACCCGUGGCGAAGGCGACUCUCUGGACCAAUACUGACGCUGAGACGCGAAAGCGUGGGGAGCAAACAGGAUUAGAUACCCUGGUAGUCCACGCCGUAAACGAUGAGAACUAGGUGUAGCGGGUAUUGACCCCUGCUGUGCCGGAGCUAACGCAUUAAGUUCUCCGCCUGGGGAGUACGGCCGCAAGGCUAAAACUCAAAGGAAUUGACG